UACGUAGGGUGCGAGCGUUGCUCGGAAUCACUGGGCGUAAAGGGCGCGUAGGCGGCGUUUUAAGUCGGGGGUGAAAGCCUGUGGCUCAACCACAGAAUGGCCUUCGAUACUGGGACGCUUGAGUAUGGUAGAGGUUGGUGGAACUGCGAGUGUAGAGGUGAAAUUCGUAGAUAUUCGCAAGAACACCGGUGGCGAAGGCGGCCAACUGGACCAUUACUGACGCUGAGGCGCGAAAGCGUGGGGAGCAAACAGG
rnacentral:rRNA from 1 species